rnacentral:misc_RNA from 1 species
CCUCCAGCCCCCUCAAGGAGGCUGUUGUAUCUAAGGAAUACAGAACAUUUUGCAUAGAUUCGUCAUCUUAGACAAAUAGCUUUUCCCUCUCAGUUUUUGUGAUUUAUGUUGGAAAAGCGGGAAGAACGCUAUUUGUGGGCACCUACCAUUUUUUUUUUAACUUCUCCCCAUUUUAUUUCUCAUUUGAGUUGUGCAUAUCCCAUUUGUGAUUAUAUGCGUAAAUCAUAUUUGAGGGCUGCAUUGUUUUGAAUGUAUGCCAUUGUUCUUUUUUAACUUUUUGAGAAUCUUGCUAAAUUGCUGAGCUAGGAAGAAAUGUGUAAC